rnacentral:lncRNA from 1 species
AAAAAAAAAAAAAAGAAAAAAAAAAAGAGAAAAAAAAAUUUAAUUAAUUAAUUAAUUAAUUAAUUAAUUAAUUAAAUAAUUAAAAUAAAUAAAUAAAUAAAAUAUAACAAAUUAUUUUGGACUUGGGUCUCCCUCAUUCCAAGCCCAUUACCCACAAAAUUAGUUUAUAAAUACUGAAGUUUCAGUAGAGGAAAAGGACUGGGAGUUAGACUUGGAGUUUACACUGGGAGAUUCACUGGAGAAAGAAGGAAGAGAAGCAAAACACUCUGAGGUUUCCUUGGAACAAAACCUUGAGGAAAAAGAAAGAGAGAGAACAGAGAAGGACGGAUAGAAACUUUGGCAUAGGAACCCUGCCAACCCGGAGAAUUCAGAAUAAAGAAACCCUGAAGGCAGCUCAUCCGCCCCGAAGCCAUCGCCGCCCAAUUCCCGCCGCCUAACUCAUUCCGAUACCACAAGUGGUCAAUCCCUUCAACCUUGAAUUGGCAAACAGGUUUGCGUAUCUCUAUUGUUUAUACUUUCAAUUGGCCAUAUCUACAUAUAUAAUGCAUCAUGAUUAAAUGUUGAUAUAUAAUUUGCUUUCGUAUGGGAAUUUAAAUAUGCCUGAAUACCCUGAAUGUUUGACCAUGUUAUUCCUGUGAUAAAAUGCCAUAAAAUUCAAAGUUCCUAACAUGGGGCUGUUUUCAAAUUCAAAAUCCGUGGCCGCUCGCUAGCACCUCGCUAGGCGAGC